rnacentral:lncRNA from 1 species
UUUAAAUAAGUAAACUGAAAACACUGUUCUGAAUUAAGGCCAUCCAUACUGAAUUUUCCUAAAGAGAGAAUAACUCCACAAAUCGAAGAGUGCUGAACAGGAUGUUCACUUCCUUCUGAAAGCAGAAAGAAAGGAAGUUAGGGCAACACACAUCAAUCAUCAUCUUAGAAAACGAGGCAGUACUCUUUCCCCUGUACAGAGUCAUAUCCAAGCUUUUGUUUACAACACAUUGCGAUCUACCAAAGUCAUAGCAGGAAGCCAUCAAGUACCCAUCAUAUAAGACAGUCCCAUCUAGUCUAUGUAUGCUGUUCUUUGGGCUUCAAUGUAAUGCAAAUAGAGUUUUUAGUUUUUAGAUGUUUAUGGGAUACAGUAAUCCAGGCUUUUUAUCAUGUGUAAUACCACCACUAUGAGUGUUAUCAGAAAAGGUUUCACACAAUUCAUAUGUGCUAAACAGAGUUCAAACUAUGAAAUGUAUGCACAAUUCAAGAAAAUUAUCCUAGGGCCUCCAAAAGUGAUUGGAGGGAGAGAACAGCUACAAAAUGAGGCUGGAAGACUUGGAUUUGUUCAGCUCAGAGAAGGGAAGGCUUUGGGAUGACCUACUUGCAACCUUCCAGUACCCAAGUUGAUCCUAUAGGAAACACGGAGGGAAAUGUAGUGACAGGACAAGGGGGAAUGAUUUUAAACUGAAAGAAGGAAGAUUUACGUUAAAUGCUGUGAGGAAAUUCUUUGCUCAGAGUGUGGUGAGGCACUGGCACAGACUGCCUGGUGAAGAUGUGGAUGUCCCAUCCCUGGAGGCAUUCAAAGAGAGGUUGGAUGGGGCCCUGGGCACCUGAGCUAGUGGGGGGGCAGCCCUGCCCAGGGCAGAGGGGUUUGAAGCCAGUUGAUUUUUAAGGUACCUUCCAACAUAAGCCAUUUUAUGAUUCUAUGGCUGUUCUAUGUAUCCUCAUUACCCAGGUGAUCUUAAGGUGUCAGACUAUGGCUGAUGAAUUACGAGAGCUCAAAAAAAACAGCAUCUACAAAAGUCUGCAUAGGUGCAAUAGAUUCUGGGUCUCAGAAGCCCUUCCUUCGGAAUAUAGACAAAUAUAGGCUGUCCAUACUCAAUCCCCUCAGGAAGCAAUACGAUCUUCUAAAUACACCCUGCUCCACAGCAGGCGAGCUGCACAAGAGCAGAGAAACACAGGAAACCCUCAUCAUGUGGAGCUGGGAAUGUCACCAGUUUCUGGUCUGCUUCUUAAGUCAGCCAGCUUCUGAGCUUAACACUGGUGAGCACCCCAACACUUCCACAUUUGAAUCUCUAGGCCAGCUGGGUCUCAUCUGUAUUCACCUGAAGGGAACUCACAUAACAUAA